rnacentral:piRNA from 1 species
UUGUAUCCCAUAUGAGUGCUUACCAA